CCUACAUUUUUUUAAGACAUGAAUAGCAUGUUCAUGAUGUUAUCUGAAUGAAUAAGCAACCAAGGCACAUAACAUCAUUAAUAGGAUUUUAAUAAUCUAAGCUAAGAGAAUGCAAUCAAUCUAACAACAACGAAAUUAAGACAUUUGAAUUAAAUUAAAAGCAGAAAAUAUUUAGUAAUCUUGUUCAUCAAUUUAGAACAAAAUAAAAAAGUUAAAAGGGAAAGAAACUAUAAGGCAAAUCCGGUGUUUCUCCGUAGCUCAUCUUGUGUUUUGUUUAUCCUUCCUUCUGCUUUAUUCCUUCGCACAAUUGCCUUCAAAAUGUUGAAUUUUUGCUGCUCAAAGAACUUCUAAAAUGCUUCUCUCAAUUCUUAUGCUGCUCUCUCAAAUGGGAGGUGAAAGGGUAAAGAAUGAGAGAAGAGAUAGUUA
rnacentral:lncRNA from 1 species